UUCUUCCUGAAUAGAGGAGGUAAGGCCUGCUCACUGAGAUAUUAAAGAGCCGCAGUAUAUUGACUGUGCUAAGGUAGCAUAAUCAUUAGUCUUUUAAUUGGAGACUGGUAUGAAUGGCUAAACGAGAAACCAACUUUUUUUGUUAUAGACAGUUGAAUUUAACUUUUUAGUGAAAAGGCUAAAAUAGAUCAAAAAGACGAGAAGACCCUAUAGAGUUUUAUAGAUUCUGGAAUUUUUCUUUUAUGGAUUUCGAUGAGAAAUGUUUGGGGAAUUUGUUUUGUUGGGGCGACGUUAAGAUAAUAAAAACUCUUUAUAAAAUAAACUUUUAUGAAAGAAUAGUUUGAUCCUUAGUAAGAGAUUAUAAGAAAAAAUUACCUUAGGGAUAACAGCGUAAUCUUUUUUGAGAGUUCUAAUCGACAAAAAGGUUUGCGACCUCGAUGUUGGACUAAAAUUUAGGCAGGGUGUAGCAGUUCUGUUUUUAGGUCUGUUCGACCUAUAGUAUUUUACGUGAUCUG
rnacentral:rRNA from 1 species